GGGGCUGUUUCUCGUCCUAGAAUACAAAGAGAAGCAUCUUAAUUAGACAUUGUUUUCUCAAAGAAGUGAGGCUUCUCUAGUGAUGACACUUUCUGGCACCUGGCAUCCUGCCUGCGUGGGGUAAGAUGGAUACCUUCAAAUUACCAUUUCUUGUUCCACUCCUGUGAUACAAUGAGCCAAUUCCUGAAAAUUUGCAUUGUAAAAUCAUGAAGAUACUCUAAUUUCAAUUCUGUGAACACAGACAUAAGGAGGAAAAAAAGCUGGGAAGCACAUAUGCAAAAGGUGGUCAUUGGUUAGGGUCCCAACAUAAGAUACUCAUCCUUCAGAUGGAAUUAGUCUAGUUCUGUAAUAUAUUAGCAGAGGCUCUAUUAGGAAGUGAUAAAGCCACAUACGAACGUCUCCAGGAAUAUAGGCUUUACUGGA